rnacentral:misc_RNA from 1 species
CGCUGGGAAAGCAACAAGCAAAGUUAAGCAACGCGUAAAGCUCAAACUUUGAGACCCCCCAAAAUCUCUUAGCUGCCAUUUUUUCUUCAACAAUUUUGCUUAUAGAUGCUCUUUUGGAGUCCUAACCCGCUAUCUCCACUCACUUUGACUCGUCCGAGUCCAACGAAUGGCCAAUACCCCCACGGAACCUCCUGCCGAUGAUUUCCUUCAGGAAAUCCUUGCCCUCC